rnacentral:tRNA from 1 species
GCGGCCGUGGCGAAAUUGGCAGACGCGCUAGGUUGAGGGCCUAGAGCCCGCAAGGGUGUGGAGGUUCGAGUCCUCUCGGCCGCA